UACGUAGGUGACAAGCGUUGUCCGGAUUUACUGGGCGUAAAGAGCGCGCAGGCGGUCGAUCAAGUCGAGUGUGAAAGCCCCCGGCUCAACUGGGGAGGGUCACGCGAUACUGUUCGACUCGAAGGCAGGAGAGGGAAGUGGAAUUCCCGGUGUAGUGGUGAAAUGCGUAGAUAUCGGGAGGAACACCAGUGGCGAAGGCGACUUCCUGGCCUGUUCUUGACGCUGAGGCGCGAAAGCUAGGGUAGCAAACGGG
rnacentral:rRNA from 1 species